rnacentral:lncRNA from 1 species
GCUGGUCCCUUCUGCAAGACCCUGUCAUUAGACACAUACCUGAGUUAAGCAUCACCGUCUCAGUGAGCGGGGCUUAUCUGAGGACAGGGACUGCCUGAGGGUCCAGAGAGAGGAUGCGUCAGAAGAUGUGAAAGAGGGUGACCAUAGAAUCCCAGCUCCCCUCCAACCCAGGCAGCCCAUGGCAACCCCCAGCUUUCCCUCCUGCCCCGUGGAUGUGCACAGCAUGGCACCCAUUGGAAACAGCACACCCCUGCAAGGGCCAGGCUGGAGCCUGGCCUGUGGGGCAGGGGCUGGCUGGGCUGCAGGCCCUCAAGCUGUCUGAGCUCUCUGGCGCUACAGGGGGUGCUUCUGAGGCUUCUGAAGCUUCUCAGAGCCACAGGAAGAUGGGAUGAUAUCCACCCUCUCCAUGAUCUGCAUGUGGGGCUGCCCUGUGACACCCAUCCGCCCCAUGGGAGCUGAAUGGAAUGCACUGUUGGAAAUUAUAGGCUGUGUGAUACUUGAAAAAUGUCCAGUAGUAGGCCGGGUGCGGUGGCUUACGCCUGUAAUCCCAGCACUUUGGGAGGCCGAGAUGGGUGGAUCACGAGGUCAGGAGAUCGAGACCAUCCUGGCUAACACGGUGAAACCCCAUCUCUACUAAAAAUACAAAAAAAAAAAUUAGCCGGGUGUGGUGGCGGGCGCCUGUAGUCCCAGCUACUCGGGAGGCUGAGGCAGGAGAAUGGCGUGAACCCGGGAAGCAGAGCUUGCAGUGAGCCGAGAUCGCUCCACUGCACUCUAGCCUGGGUGACAGAGCGAGACUCCAUCUCAAAAAAAAAAAAAAAAGAAAAGAAAAAAAAAGAAAAAUGUCCAGUAGUAUCUACAACGUAGCAGAUGUCUCCACGGGCUUCUCCAUGCAGUCUGGGCAGCAUUGCAAGAGGUCCUCAGCCUCUCUGUUCACCGAUCCAUUUCCGGGAGGGAGUGGCCGGAGCCGUGCUCUGGGUCACAUGGACCUUGGGGAUGCCCUCACUCUAGGUGCCCGAGGUGCUGAGCCCAGGGCCCUCCAGUGCCAGGUUCAAGCGAUGGUCCUGCCACAUGCCUCUGCAUGAGCUCAUGCAGGUCACUUUCCUCUCUGAGCCCCAAGAUCCCCAUGACAAUGGUGCAAAAGAGCUAAUGUGGGAGAGUGCCAGCCCCCAGCAUAUACAUGUCCCUUCUUCAGCCUGUGCCAGUGAUAGUGGCAUGAGGCACAUGGUAAAUUCUAGAUGCAGUCCCUGGAUUAUUUUCCUGUGGUCACCGUAACAAAUUGUCACA